GUGAUGUAUGUAGUAAAGGGUUUAGUCAGCGUCGUAAUUUACAGAGGCACAUGAGAACACAUACAGGUGAAAAAACCCAUGACUGUGCCGUAUGUGGUAAAAACUUUAGUCGGCUGGAUGGUUUAAAGAGUCACAUGAAAACACAUACGGACGAUAAACCUCAUGCCUGUGAUGUAUGUGGUAAAGGCUUUAGUCAGCGUCGUGAUUUACAGAGGCACAUGAGAACACAUACAGGUGAAAAACCUCAUGGCAGUGUAUAUGUACCUCAUGACUGUGACGUAUGUUGCAAAAAGUUUAUUCACCUUCAUGAUUUACAGAGACACAUGAGAACACAUACAGGUGAUAAACCUCAUGACUGUGACGUAUGCGGUAAAAAGUUUAGUCGUCUUUGUAAUUUACAGACACACAUGAGAAUACAUACCGGUG
rnacentral:lncRNA from 1 species